ACUCCUACGGGAGGCAGCAGUGGGGAAUCUUGGACAAUGGGGCAACCCGUGAUCCAGCCAUGCCGCGUGAGUGAAGAAGGCCUUAGGGUCGUAAAGCUCUUUCGCCUGUGAAGAUAAUGACGGUAGCAGGUAAAGAAACCCCGCGUACAUCCGUGCCAGCAGCCGCGGUAAUACGGAGGGGGUUAGCGUUGUUCGGAAUUACUGGGCGUAAAGCGCGCGUAGGCGGAUUGGAAAGUUGGGGGUG
rnacentral:rRNA from 1 species